rnacentral:rRNA from 1 species
UUUAGCCUAAGUGACCCAAACUAGCCCCUCUAUCUAGACUAAAAGAUAUUCGAUUGGGGUACAGCCCUAUCGAACAAGGAUACAACCUACACUAGCGGGUCAGGGCCACGCCUUUUCCCGUAGGCCUUAAAGCCGCCAUCAGUAAAUAAAGCGUCACAGCACAACACUGUAAAUACCAAAAGUCCUAGCAAACCCCUAGCAAACAACUGAGCCAUACUAUAUUAAUAGUAGCACUAAUGCUAAAACUAGUAACAAGAAAGCUUCUCUGACCACCCCCGUGCCCCAGUAACAGAAAAACUACUGGACACUAACAGACCAAAACAGGACAUCACAAACUGUCAUACCAACACUGGAGUGCCUAAAAGAAGGUUAAAAACCACAUAAGGAACUCAGCAACCCUCUGUCCCAACUGUUUACCAAAAACACAGCCUUUAGCCAAGCAAGUAUUAAAGGUGCUGCCUGCCCAGUGAAAUUUUUUAACGGCCGCGGUAUCCUAACCGUGCAAAGGUAGCGUAAUCACUUGUCUUUUAAAUAAAGACUUGUAUGAACGGCUAAAUGAGGACAGGCCUGUCUCUUGUGGCCAACCAAUGAAACUGAUCUUUAAGUACAAAAGCUUAAAUAAAAACAUAAGACGAGAAGACCCGUGGAGCUUAAAACCCCCCGCUAUAGUGCUAAAUGGCGCGGGUUUUGAGUUGGGGCGACUUCGGAAUAAAGCCAAACUUCCGAGCACAGAGUUAACUACUCUACCCUAGACUGACAAGUCAAAGGAAACCACCGACCCAGUCACACUGAACAACGAACCAAGUUACCCCAGGGAUAACAGCGCCAUCUUCUUCAAGAGUCCCUAUCGACAAGAAGGUUUACGACCUCGAUGUUGGAUCAGGACACCCAAAUGGUGCAACAGCUAUUAAAGGUUCGUUUGUU